UGGGGAAUAUUGGACAAUGGGCGAAAGCCUGAUCCAGCCAUGCCGCGUGUGUGAAGAAGGUCUUCGGAUUGUAAAGCACUUUAAGUUGGGAGGAAGGGCAGUAAGCGAAUACCUUGCUGUUUUGACGUUACCGACAGAAUAAGUACCGGCUAACUCUGUGCCAGCAGCCGCGGUAGUACAGAGGGUGCAAGCGUUAAUCGGAAUUACUGGGCGUAAAGCGCGCGUAGGUGGUUCGUUAAGUUGAAUGUGAAAGCCCCGGGCUCAACCUGGGAACUGCAUCCAAAACUGGCGAGCUAGAGUAGGGCAGAGGGUGGUGGAAUUUCCUGUGUAGCGGAGAAAUGCGUAGAUAUAGGAAGGAACACCAGUGGCGAAGGCGACCACCUGGGCUCAUACUGACACUGAGGUGCGAAAGCGUGGGGAGCAAACAGG
rnacentral:rRNA from 1 species